rnacentral:rRNA from 1 species
ACCCGCUGAACUUAAGCAUAUCAAUAAGCGGAGGAAAAGAAACCAACAGGGAUUGCCCUAGUAACGGCGAGUGAAGCGGCAACAGCUCAAAUUUGAAAUCUGGCGUCUUUGGCGUCCGAGUUGUAAUUUGCAGAGGGCGCUUUGGCAUUGGCAGCGGUCCAAGUUCCUUGGAACAGGACGUCACAGAGGGUGAGAAUCCCGUACGUGGUCGCUAGCCUUUACCGUGUAAAGCCCCUUCGACGAGUCGAGUUGUUUGGGAAUGCAGCUCUAAAUGGGAGGUAAAUUUCUUCUAAAGCUAAAUACUGGCCAGAGACCGAUAGCGCACAAGUAGAGUGAUCGAAAGAUGAAAAGCACUUUGGAAAGAGAGUUAAAAAGCACGUGAAAUUGUUGAAAGGGAAGCGCUUGCAGCCAGACUUGCCUGUAGUUGCUCAUCCGGGUUUUUACCCGGUGCACUCUUCUAUAGGCAGGCCAGCAUCAGUUUGGGCGGUAGGAUAAAGGUCUCUGUCACGUACCUCUCUUCGGGGAGGCCUUAUAGGGGAGACGACAUACUACCAGCCUGGACUGAGGUCCGCGCAUCUGCUAGGAUGCUGGCGUAAUGGCUGU